GGCUCGGCACUACGCAGCGAAUCCACUUCGAACCGGGUCAGGCCGGGAACGGAGCAGCCCUAAGGAGCGUGAUUCGGGUGCCGUAGAUGUCCGGGCCUCC
rnacentral:SRP_RNA from 1 species